rnacentral:rRNA from 1 species
UACGUAGGGUGCGAGCGUUGUCCGGAAUUAUUGGGCGGAAAGAGCUCGUAGGCGGUGUGUCGCGUCGGCCGUGAAAACCUGGGGCUCAACUCCGGGCGUGCGGUCGAUACGGGCAUCACUUGAGUUCGGCAGGGGAGACUAGAAUUCCUGGUGUAGCGGUGAAAUGCGCAGAUAUCAGGAGGAACACCGGUGGCGAAGGCGGUUCUCUGGGCCUGUACUGACGCUGAGGAGCGAAAGCGUGGGGAGCGAACAGG